UGGGGAAUAUUGCACAAUGGGCGGAAGCCUGAUGCAGCAACGCCGCGUGCGGGAUGACGGCCUUCGGGUUGUAAACCGCUUUCGCCUGUGACGAAGCGUGAGUGACGGUAAUGGGUAAAGAAGCACCGGCUAACUACGUGCCAGCAGCCGCGGUGAUACGUAGGGUGCGAGCGUUGUCCGGAUUUAUUGGGCGUAAAGGGCUCGUAGGUGGUUGAUCGCGUCGGAAGUGUAAUCUUGGGGCUUAACCCUGAGCGUGCUGUCGAUACGGGUUGACUUGAGGAAGGUAGGGGAGAAUGGAAUUCCUGGUGGAGCGGUGGAAUGCGCAGAUAUCAGGAGGAACACCAGUGGCGAAGGCGGUUCUCUGGGCCUUUCCUGACGCUGAGGAGCGAAAGCGUGGGGAGCGAACA
rnacentral:rRNA from 1 species